rnacentral:rRNA from 1 species
UACAGAGGUCUCGAGCGUUGUUCGGAUUCAUUGGGCGUAAAGGGCGCGUAGGCUGCGGGGCAAGUCGGGUGUGAAAUCUCAGGGCUCAACUCUGAAACUGCACUCGAUACUGCUUUGCUUGAGGACUGGAGAGGAGAUUGGAAUUCACGGUGUAGCAGUGAAAUGCGUAGAUAUCGUGAGGAACACCGGUGGCGAAGGCGGCCAACUGGACGAAUACUGACGCUGAGACUCGAAAGCGUGGGGAGCAAACAGG